rnacentral:tRNA from 1 species
GAGGGUACAGCUUAGUGGUAGGAUGCGUGCUUAGCAUGCAUGAGGUCCUGGGUUCAAUUCCCAGUACCUUUA